rnacentral:rRNA from 1 species
UACGUAGGGUGCGAGCGUUAAUCGGAAUUACUGGGCGUAAAGCGUGCGCAGGCGGUUCGUUGUGUCGGCGGUGAAAGCCCCGGGCUUAACCUGGGAACGGCCGUUGAAACUGGCGAACUGGAGUGUGGCAGAGGGGGGUGGAAUUCCGCGUGUAGCAGUGAAAUGCGUAGAGAUGCGGAGGAACACCGAUGGCGAAGGCAGCCCCCUGGGCUAACACCGACGCUCAGGCACGAAAGCGUGGGGAGCAAACAGG